rnacentral:lncRNA from 1 species
GACGUAGCCGCCACGAAGGCGCUAAGACGGAAAACGCUCUUAGCUAAGAGGAAAAACCUUCAAGAAAACAAGAUAAACCUUACAUGAAGCUGCUGAGCAUUUGUUUCGUAUCGUCAUUGACUCUCGAGUUGGCAAAGCUGAUGCAGGAGCAGUAUAGCGCAACCCAAGCACACCACUUCAACUGCAAAUGACAGCCCUGAGGUUACCUGAGGUUUCAAUCAACUUGCCUAAAAGGUCAACACUUCAAAAACGAAGGGUGAACAGGAGCACUGUCCAGAGCGAACGAUGCACUAGAACCCCUACCCCAGCCAGGAACCAGGAGAUAUGGAUCUACACAUGGCCCAAAGCUGGAUCCGAAGAACUCAACUGAAGCAGACUGAGGCUAAAAUACUGCACUGCCAGCUAUCAAAGAUUGAUCUACCUUCCCUUCCCGCCCAACCACUUGGGCUAGACAGUAGAGCGAAGGCCCAUUUUUUUGCAAGCCGGUUUUCAAUCCCCGACUGUCCAAGUGGUUGGGCACAAUUUCAUCCCCAUGUCCCAUCAAAAAUCCUUAUAUUGAUCCCUUCCAAAUGCUAUAUAGUUAUAAUGAUUUAGUGAUUUCUCCUAAUAAUUCCCUUCCCUUCCCUUUCCCUCCAGAAAGUAGAAAGGGUGUAAAAAGAGAGGCAAACCGCAAGGAAUACAACUAAGAAGAUUCCUGAUGAUCUAGAACUGCACGCUGGAAAGCACGACAGGCUGCAUAUAGUGUAAAUAUGCAACCACAUCCCACAGCAGCAGCUCAAACAACUAGAGCAAUGCUAUCAAGGCAAUCUUUGAAGACAACACAAAUGGUGAAACCAGCUGGGAAGAACCCUGCUCUAAACAUAAUUACACCUGAUCAACCAGGCUGUGACUCAUACGUCAGGCUGCGAGCAGCCGCAUCCAACAGCCUGGUUGAUCAGUCCGGCAACCAGGAGGCCUGGUCGACAACCGGGCCGCGGGGACGCUAAGCCCCGGAAGCACCUCAAGGUAACACUGAGAAGAGCUCCAGAGUUGCACAAAAAUGGAGACCCUAUGCCAAAUGGAUCUAAAAUUUGUGGUCCAACAUGAUCUAUUACAGUAUGUACUCAUCAUUUUGACAAUGGCAUAUGAUAGAGCAAUCAUUGGCAAACAAUUCCAUUUAAAAAUCAUAAUUACAGUACAGUAUAUGACAAUUAUUGGUGGUCCCAACAUAACAUAAUGACCAGGAUUUACACAAACUCAACCAUUCUUGACAUAAAUCCCAGUAAAUUGAGGGUACCGGUAGUAUAGUCGAGUUCGUUCUUGACUCGCAAUCUAGAAUUCUGGGUUCAAAUCCCAGGCAAGAUAGAAAUGGCGGGUGUGUAUCCUAUCACCUAAUGUACCUGUUCACCUAGCAGUAAACAGGUACUCGGAAAUUAAACAACUGUUGUGGGUAGGAUGAUAUAAAUACUGUACUUUGUAAAGAAAACCAGAUACAGUACUGUAAUAACAAAAUAUAUUUAAAUUAAGAUUAUAGUGCAUUUUAAAAUCUGGUUAUGUGGUCGCUGAUGGAGAGUUUCCAUAAAUACGUAACUAACAUGAAACUGGCCGCUAACAGUUUCAUGUCAAUGCCUGCUUCGGCCAGCUGCAUUUAGUUCAAUAAACAUUUCUGUAUAUUACCUGUUGAUGGUUUUAACAGUUCUUCACACACAGCCUGGCCUUUAUACGGGUCAUGAAAGGUCUACCAGAACCUAGUGAGUUACUUGAAACACCUAACAUUUUUAUGCAAACUUUGUACAAAAUUAUUAAUUACUACUAUACACUGAUAACACAACUGUUGUUUUCCAAUAGUUGUGUUAGUCCUACAUUGCUUUUUUAUCACUAGUAAAACGGUCUGUAAUAAUGUGUCACCCUGUACACAUGACUGUUCACCAAUGGAUUGGAAAAUUUACCUAACCUUACCCAGGCUAACUCAAACCAACCAAGCCUAACACAGCCUAAUCUUGGCUAAUACAUCCUAACGUAUCAAACUUUAUGGAUGGUACUUUUUGGACAUGAAAUAAUUCGACGAUGCUCGUUUUCCCGUUUGUUAAAACCGUAUACACUAUACUGUUAUGGUAGGAUGUAUUAGCUUAGGUUAAGCUGUACUGGACUCCAUUGGUUUGGGUUAGGUUGAUUCUUGGUUUGGUUAGUUUAGGUUGGGUUGAGCUAGGUUAUCUUGAGAUGAUUUCGGGGCUUAGCGUCCCCGCGGCCCGGUCCUCGAUCAGGCCUCCUUUUUUGUUACACCCCCACCAGGAAGCAGCCCGUAGCAACUGUAACUCCCAGGUACCUAUUUACUGCUAGGUAACAGGGGCAUCAGGAUGAAAAACAUUUUGCCCAUUUGUCUCUGCCUUCACCGGGGAUCGAACCCGGAAACCCUAGGUUAGAUAGGUUUUAACAUUUGUUUGCGAGUCAUCGUGUAUGUGGUAUGACUUGUAUCUGAUUUAAUAUGGUCUUAUCUGUCAAAACUAAAAAUUAAGUAAAAAUCUUAUAUACCUUCUUGUAUAUAAAUAAAUAAAUGAGCUUUGUUUAA